AUUGAACGCUAGCGGCAUGCCUUACACAUGCAAGUCGAACGGAGUGGCGAACGGGUGAGUAAUGCAUAGGAAUCUGCCUAGUAGCGGGGGAUAACUACGCGAAACCGUUGCUAAUACCGCAUACUAUUGGCGCGGCCCAUCUCGGAUUAGCGAGUUGGUGGGGUAACGGCUCACCAAGGCGACGAUCCGUAUCUGUUUUGAGAGGAGGACCAGCCACACUGGGACGGAGACACGGCCAAGACUCCUACGGGAGGCAGCAGUGGGGAAUUUGGGACAAUGGGGGAAACCCUGAUCCAGCCAUCCCGGGUGUGUGAAGAAGGCCUUCGGAUUGUAAAGCACUUUUGGCAGGAAGGCGGUACCUGCAGAAUAAGCACCGGCUAACUACGUGCCAGCAGCCGCGGUAAUAC
rnacentral:rRNA from 1 species